CUCGGCCGCAGAACGUGCCCAGCCGGCCCCAGGACUCCUGCAGGGGCGCCCUCCGCAGCUCAGAGCCUGACAGGACCCCUUUGAACUGCCCUAGUACCAGGUACCCGGUUCAGAUCUCAACUCUUGCCAAUUGCUGUGCCCAUACUGGGCUUGCUGGGGAUACUGGCAUAACUACCGGCCCCUGGACCACGUAUGAGAGUACUUUGGGGAGAAGGUGGUCAUCGAUUUUGCCUGGGUAAGUUUCUACACGGCCUGGCUGCUGCCUGUCAGCCUGG